CACGUAGGGCGCAAGCGUUGUCCGGAAUUAUUGGGCGUAAAGAGCUCGUAGGCGGUCUGUUACGUCUGCUGUGAAAACCCAGGGCUUAACCCUGGGCUUGCAGUGGAUACGGGCAGACUAGAGGCAGGUAGGGGAGAACGGAAUUCCUGGUGUAGCGGUGAAAUGCGCAGAUAUCAGGAGGAACACCGGUGGCGAAGGCGGUUCUCUGGGCAUGUUCUGACGCUGAGGAGCGAAAGUGUGGGGAGCGAACAGG
rnacentral:rRNA from 1 species